GGUGCAUUGCUUGAAGAGGUGCAGUUGCGACUUGACCUCGAGGAGCAACACAUUGCACGCGGUGUGGUGGCCUUUCUGAGCUUUUUAAAGAGUUUGCUGGAUUUUUGAAGCUUUUCCAAAACUUCUUUUGCAGCUGUUUGGUAAGUUAAACUUUUAAAACUUUUUUUGGGUUUUUUGGAUUUUGGGUUGGGGUGUUUAGAAUUCAAGGACUUGGUGUUGGGGAGGGGUUUGCAAGAAUCUGGGAGUUUGUGUGGUUUUUUUCUGCAUUUUUAUGGUUUUCUGUGACCAUUGGGCCAUUUUUUUUUUUUUUUUAAAUAUCUGGGUUUUGAAUUUUUGAAUUUCUGUGUGCUGGGUGGCUGGGGGAACAGCUGGGGAGGGGUUUGCAGGAAUCUGGGAGCUUGUGUAGUUUUUUUUUUUUUUGAAUUUUUAUGGUUUUCUGUGACCAUUGGGCCAUGUUGUUUUUUUUUGGAAAAAAUUUCUGGGUUUUGAAUUUCUGUGUGCUGGGUGGCUGGGGGAACAGCUGGGGAGGGGUUUGCAGGAAUCUGGGAGCUUGUGUGGUUUUUUUUGAAUUUUUAUGGUUUUCUGUGACCAUUGGGCCAUGUUUUUUUUUUUGAAAAAUUUUCUGGGUUUUGAAUUUCUGUGUGCUGGGUGGCUGGGGGAACAGCUGGGGAGGGGUUUGCAGGAAUCUGGGAGCUUGUGUGGUUUUUUUUUUUUGAAUUUUUAUGGUUUUCUGUGACCAUUGGGCCAUGUUGUUUUUUUUUGAAAAAAAUUUCUGGGUUUUGAAUUUCUGUGUGCUGGGUGGCUGGGGGAACAGCUGGGGAGGGGUUUGCAGGAAUCUGGGAGCUUGUGGGGUUUUUUUUUGAAUUUUUAUGGUUUUCUGUGACCAUUGGGCCAUGUUUUUUUUUUUGAAAAAUUUUCUGGGUUUUGAAUUUCUGUGUGCUGGGUGGCUGGGGGAACAGCUGGGGAGGGGUUUGCAGGAAUCUGGGAGCUUGUGUGGUUUUUUUUUUGAAUUUUUAUGGUUUUCUGUGACCAUUGGGCCAUGUUGUUUUUUUUUGAAAAAAUUUUCUGGGUUUUGAAUUUCUGUGUGCUGGGUGGCUGGGGGAACAGCUGGGGAGGGGUUUGCAGGAAUCUGGGAGCUUGUGUGGUUUUUUUUUGAAUUUUUAUGGUUUUCUGUGACCAUUGGGCCAUGUUGUUUUUUUUGAAAAAAAUUUCUGGGUUUUGAAUUUCUGUGUGCUGGGUGGCUGGGGGAACAGCUGGGGAGGGGUUUGCAAGAAUCUGGGAGCUUGUGUGGUUUUUUUUUGAAUUUUUAUGGUUUUCUGUGACCAUUGGGCCAUGUUUGUUUUUUUGUAAAAAAUUUCUGGGUUUUGAAUUUCUGUGUGCUGGGUGGCUGGGGGAACAGUUGAGGAGGGGUUUGCAACAGUUGGGGAGGGGUUUGCAACAGUUGGGGAGGGGCUGGGGAACAGUUGAGGUUUUUGAAGACUUUGGUGAUUUUUAAAGCUUUCCCAAAACUUCUUUUGCAGCCAUUUGAGGAUUUUGAAGACUUUGGUGAUUUGCAGCCAUUUCGUAAGUUAAACUUUUAAAACUUUUUUGGGGGUUUUUGGAUUUUGGGUUGGG